rnacentral:rRNA from 1 species
GAUGAACGCUGGCGGCGUGCCUAACACAUGCAAGUCGAGCGAUUCUCUUCGGAGAGGAGCGGCGGACGGGUGAGUAACGCGUGGGUAACCUGCCCUGUACACACGGAUAACAUACCGAAAGGUAUGCUAAUACGAGAUAAUAUGCUUUUAUCGCAUGGUAGAAGUAUCAAAGCUUUUGCGGUACGGGAUGGACCCGCGUGUGUUUAGCUAGUUAGUAAGGUAACGGCUUACCAGGGAGAAGAUCAGUAGCCGACCUGAGAGGGUGAUCGGCCACAUUGAAACUGAGACACGGUCCACACUCCUACGGGAGGCAGCAGUGGGGAAUAUUGCACAAUGGGAGAAAGCCUGAUGCAGCAACGCCGCGUGAGCGAUGAAGGCCUUCGGGUCGUAAAGCUCUGUCCUCAAGGAAGAUAAUGACGGUACUUGAGGAGGAAGCCCCGGCUAACUACGUGCCAGCAGCCGCCGUAA